CUUCAUAAUAAUUUUUUCCUCUUCAAGACUGCUUUGCUUUUUAGCUUUUUUCCUCAAAUGUCUCAAAUGUUUGCUGUCCAGCAGAUUCUGAUCACAUUUAUGACGACGUGACUGAAGUGGAUACGAGAUACAAAGAUGAUCCAGAGCUAUUUUUGGAGGUCACAUAUUCAGAAGUCAUUGUUAAGAAAAAUAUAUCUCUGCAUAAAGAUGAUACCAUGACAGAGUCAAAUGAUGUGAUAUACUCAGAAGUCAGCACAACAGUAA